AGUGAACGCUGGCGGUAGGCCUAACACAUGCAAGUCGAACGGCAGCACAGUAAGAGCUUGCUCUUACGGGUGGCGAGUGGCGGACGGGUGAGGAAUACAUCGGAAUCUACUUUUUCGUGGGGGAUAACGUAGGGAAACUUACGCUAAUACCGCAUACGACCUACGGGUGAAAGCAGGGGAUCUUCGGACCUUGCGCGAUUGAAUGAGCCGAUGUCGGAUUAGCUAGUUGGGGGGGUAAAGGCCCACCAAGGCGACGAUCCGUAGCUGGUCUGAGAGGGUGAUCGGCCAACCUGGAAAUGAGACACGGCCCAGCCUCCUACGGGAGGCAGGAGUGGGGAAUUUUGCACAAGGGGCGAAAGCCUGACCGAGCAAAGCCGGGGGAGGGAAGAAGGCUUUCGGUUUGUAAAGCCUUUUUGUGGGGAAAGAAAGGCAACGUUUUAAUCCCCCAUGUUAGGGAGGGUACCAAAAAAGAAAGCACCGGCUAACUUCGUG
rnacentral:rRNA from 1 species